CAGCCCUUUGUCGCUAAGAUU
rnacentral:snRNA from 1 species